GAUGAACGCUGGCGGCGUGCCUAAUACAUGCAAGUCGAACGAAGAUCUAGCUUGCUAGAUCUUAGUGGCGAACGGGUGAGUAAUACAUAGAUAAUCUGCCCAUAUGACUGGGAUAACUAUUGGAAACGAUAGCUAAUACCGGAUAGGUUGAUUGGAGGCAUCUCUGAUUAAUUAAAGUAGGAUUUCUACACAAAUGGAUGAGUUUAUGGCGCAUUAGUUAGUUGGUGGGGUAACGACCUACCAAGACGAUGAUGCGUAGCCGACCUGAGAGGGUGACCGGCCACACUGGGACUGAGACACGGCCCAGACUCCUACGGGAGGCAGCAGUAGGGAAUUUUCGGCAAUGGGCGCAAGCCUGACCGAGCAACGCCGCGUGAGUGAUUAAGGCCUUCGGGUUGUAAAGCUCUGUUGUAAGGGAAGAACAUUCAGGAUAGGAAAUGAUCUUGAACUGACGGUACCUUACCAGAAAGCCACGGCUAACUACGUGCCAGCAGCCGCAGUAAGAC
rnacentral:rRNA from 1 species